rnacentral:rRNA from 1 species
GACGAACGCUGGCGGCGUGCUUAACACAUGCAAGUCGAGCGGUAAGGCCCUUUCAGGGGUACACGAGCGGCGAACGGGUGAGUAACACGUGGGUGACCUGCCCUCAGCUCUGGGAUAAGCCUGGGAAACCGGGUCUAAUACUGGAUAUGACUCCAUGACGCAUGUUGUGGGGUGGAAAGCCUUGUGCGGCUGAGGAUGGGCCCGCGGCCUAUCAGCUUGUUGGUGGGGUGAUGGCCUACCAAGGCGACGACGGGUAGCCGGCCUGAGAGGGCGACCGGCCACACUGGGACUGAGACACGGCCCAGACUCCUACGGGAGGCAGCAGUGGGGAAUCUUGCGCAAUGGGCGAAAGCCUGACGCAGCGACGCCGCGUGAGGGAUGACGGCCUGGUGUAACU